GUGAGGGAGGGUGUGACUAGUGACAGUUAAGCAGGGAAGGGGUGACUAGGGACAGAGUGAGGGAGGUGGUGACUAGUGACAGUCACCACCUCCCUCACUCUGUCACUAGUCAUCACCUCCCUCCGUCACUGUGUCACCCCCUCCCUCACUCUGUCACCAGUCAUCCCCUUACUCUGUCACUAGUCACCCCUCCCUUCCCUCUC